AGGAAAAUGGUAGGAUUGCAUUUCCCUCUUCACCUGGAGUUCGAUGUGGCUGUAUGACUGGAUUUGGACAAUGAAAUGCGGGCAUAAGUGACACAUGUCACUUCUGGGAUGCAGCUUUCAGAGCCAGUGUGUAAUUCACCAUGUCCUCUUCCCCCUGCCAUGACAACCUGCAAUGCUCCGGCCAGAUGCAGAAACUCUGGGGAAAUGACUUGAGCAUGGUCACUGACAAAUGAAAAAUCCGGACCAGGAUUUUGCGGAGCCACUCGACAGAUGAGAAUCUCAUUUCGAGGCUCCUCAGAAGGCGAACUGCACCCCCUCCCUCAAGCCUCUUCUCCAGUCUCAUGGUUUUCAUGACCACUAGGGGAAGACGACGAAUUCCAAGGUGGAGAGGAAAGAGAAGAGAAGGAAAUAAUGAAAAUAGUAACACCUCCUUGCACUUUUAACAAAACGCUUUUUUCUACAUUAUUACACUGGAUUCCAAUUACAGCCCUGGAAGAGAGAGGGAGACGGAACACCCCACAUGCCUGGAAUUGAAGAAUCUCCCUCAGUGCUGACGCGGGUACAGUCCUGGGCGAACCAGGACCCAAAUCACCCCAUGACCCUUAAGCUGGCUUCUGAUGUUGCAUCUUGAGAGGUACCUUCCUGGCUUUACAGGCAUGAGGUUGCAACGGGCCUUGCACAGGGAGGAGGACGCCAGAGGGUGGGCUGAGGCAAGACAGAGAAGAACCUUCGAGUUGGAACUGCAUGGCUUUCUCAUCCUGCAAAAGAGAAGAGAGCUGCCGCUAACGCGGAGUCCCACCUGGGGGUGCCUUGCCAGUCAAGAGCCCCUGUGUCUGUGGGGAGGACAAGGCUUAGGGGAACUAAGCAGAAGGAGGAGCAGCACCCCUGCUCCCAGGCUGGCCUGGCCCUCUGCUCCCUGCGCCCCCCCCCUCCCCCUCCCCCUGCCACCCGCCUCCAGCCAACCCCCCUCCAGCCUGGCUGCACUGGAGUCCAGCUCGAAAGCCUUAUCCCAAGCCCGCAGCCUUUGGAUCUCUUUAUUCUGAUUCAAUUACAUACACAAUAUGAGCUUUGCAAACAGAAAAUUACACGCUGCAAUAAUUGAAUUCUUUCCUGGACUUGAAGCUCGCUGGGCUGUGGUGUGGAGCCGUUCCCAGAUGCUCAGCCUUGCCCCAGGGCCCCACCUUCACUUAGCAAAAUAAUAACUAAUAUUUAAACACCAUUUUACAUGUAAUGGUGCUUCUGCCUCCCCUAUCUCCCUUGAAUUUGACAACUAGGUGACGUGAGCUAUUAUGUGUCAUUAUUGUUUAUUAUGAAGCUAUUAUAUAUCAUUAUUUAUCAUUCCCUGUUUACAAAUGGGGAAACUGAGGCACAGAGCAAAUUAUAAGAUGUGCUCACAGCAACAGAACAGACAAUCGUGGCAGAACCAAGAUCUAGAUUCAGGUUUGCCUGAAAGUUCAUGACUUUUCCCACUGCAGCCUGACUCCUCUAUUUCCUGCCCACCCUAACUACCACAUGGGCCUGACUCCCCUGGACCCACCUGGUUCAUGGGAAGGAGGGUAAUUACCUUUCUUCCCUCCCACAAGUUUAGACCUAAGUGUUAUCUCCAGAACCAUGGACAAAGUCCAUCCUGUCUUUUACCAUAAACCAAAGCCACUGUUACCAAACUUGUUAAAUACCAGCAAAGAUUAUUGUUGGCUACUCUCCCAAGCACUAUUUCCUUCCCAUUGGUCUAUCAAACCUUCUCCCUGUAGGACCAACAAGGUGACCACUUUCAUUCCAUUUCCCCUGCUCUCACUUUCAAGCCAGACAGAUUCAUUUCUUAGGUGUCUGCAGGAAAUACGACAGCGACUUCUGUCACCCUCAUCAGCAUCCCCACAAUGAAUGUUUAUUGAGCAUCCUGUUAUGUGCCAGGCAUUUGUUAUCUCCUGUGGGCCUCACAAUAAAUUAAUGAAAUGUGUAUUUAUAUUUCUAUUUUAGAGAUUGGGACCUGGGACCUAAAGCAGCCAAGAAAUCCUCUCCAAGUCCCUACGUCCAGCAAGGACUAGAACUCAGGCCCCCCAACUGCAGAGACUGUGAUCCUAACCCCUGUGCCACAUGGCUACUCAGGAAUGUGUCCCCUUCCUUCCCUCCUCGUUCAAAUCAAACUCAUCUCUGAAAGGGACUAUUGAACUCCCUCCUUCAUGGUCUCCUAGAAUUUGGUCUUAUUCCAUUCACUCCAUCCUUUCCCCUCUGCCAGUGGGUGACUUCAUAAACAUCUCUGACAAAGCCAUUCCCAGGCUCCAAGGAAUCCUCCGUAACUCCCAACUACUUACAAGAAAGAAAAAAAAUACCAAACACUCUAUGUGGACAAAGUCUUCUAAGAUCUCUGUUUGGUUCCCAAGCCCUAUCUUCUGCCUUUCCCCUUGUGAUGGGUUCUGAAGUUACGCAAGACUGCUCAUAAUUCCAGGGACGUUUCCCACCUCGGUGUUUUCAUGUUAAACUUCUCCUUCUCCCUGGAGUGCCCUCUCACAUUGCUGGAUUUAAGCUUUUUCACCAAUGUUCAGCCUAGGCAUCAUCCUUUCCAGAAAGCCUUUGCCGAACCUCAGGUGGCAGGUCUCUGAGGCCGUGAUUCACAGCCCCUGUGCACUGCUCUGAGGACAGUUCCAGGUUCACAUGUCUGUGGCCCCUACCCUGCUCGCAAGCCUGGACUAGACAUUCUUUCCUCAGAGACUAGAUCAUGUUCUCUGUGCCCCAGGAGCCAACACACUUCUUGGCUCAUGGCAGUCACUCAUUCACUAUCUGCUGAAGGUCUUUUGUUUUCUAAUUUCUUCUCUUUUCUUUUUUUGACUAUUUAGGACAACACUGGAGGUGUACAGAAGUUCCCAGGCUAUGGGUCGAAUUGAAGCUGUAACCGCUGGCCUACACCACAGCCACAGCAAUGCCAGAUCUGAGCCGCACCGCAAGCCACAACACAGCUCAUGGCAACGCUGGACCCUUAACCCACUGAGCAAGGCCGGGGAUCGAACCUGAGUCCUCAUGAAUACUAGUUGGGUUUGUAACCCUCUGAGCCACAACAGGAACUCCUAUUGAAGGUCUUUGAGUCACUAUGUUUAGCUGAUGACCCAAAGGUAUAAGCAUAUCCUCCUAAAUACCUAACCUCAGAAAAACUUGCAUGAUUCUGGGCCCUGAAGAUAAAGAGAAGUCUUUGCCCAAGUGGCCUGCAGUUGCAUGUACCAAUGGAACCUCUGUUUCUUAGAGAUGGAGAAUAAUCCUAGAAUAAGAAAGGCUCCUUCUACCCAUCAACAAAUCUCACACGGAUUUCCUAGAGGGUUCUAGCAAAUGGGAAGGAAAGUCUGAGAGGGUGCAAAGUCCACCUGUCAGUCUGGGGCUGCUUGGACACACAGCUGGCAGAUGAGUCAGAGAUUCCAGCCUUUCUCCUAAGAGUAUUUCAGGCAUUAUUAUCAUGAAAGGAAACCUGGGAAAAUGGAGACAUUUAUCAAGCUGCUGAUAAGAUUCAAUAUCACAAAGAUGUCAAUUCUCCCCAAAGAGUUCUAUCAAUAUUUAAUGUACUCCCAAUCAAGACCCCGACAAGAUUUUUCAUAGAAUUUGGCAAGCUAAUUUUGAAAUCCAGAUUGGAAAAUUAAUAUCAAGAAAAACAAGAUAAUUAAAAGAAAGAAACAGGAAAGAGGAUUUGUCCUCUCGGAUAUCAAAAUGUAUUGUAAAAGUAGAGUAUUUAAAACAGAAAAACUCUGUGGUGUUGACUCAUAAAUAGACAAACAUGGUGGCAGACUAGAAUACCAGGUCCAGAAAUAAAUACAUAUAUUUGCCGGGUACGUAGUAAACACUCAAUAAAUAUUUGUUGAGUAAAUAAAGAAAGUGGCAUUUCACAUCAAUUGGGGUGGGACAAUUGACUAUUCAUUGAGGAAAAAAAAAUAGAGCUAGAUUCUACCAGUCACAAAAAUCAAUUCCAAAUAACUUAAACAAUCUAAACAUAAAAAUAUCCCUAAUAUUUAGAAAAGACUAUAGAAUAAUGUGUUUAUGACCUUAGAGUAGGGAGAUACUUCUUAAAUAAAUUAAAAUAUGCAGAAGAUAGAGUGCAGGGGUAGGCUCACCACCUAUUUUUAUAAAAACAUUUACUGGGACACAGCCACCUUCAUUGUUUGUGUCUUGUCUCUGGAUACUUUUGUGCUACAAUGAUGGCGUUGAGUUGUUGUGACCAUAUAAUUCCCAAAACUGAAAAUACUUACUCUCUGGCCAGGUAUAGAAACCCCUGACCUCUGACUAAUACAGAGUGAAAAUAUUGCUAAGUUUAACCACAUCAAAAAUUGAAGGAUUUUACUUUGUGGCACAGCAGAAACAAAUCCGACUAGGAACCAUGAGGUUGUGGGUUCAAUACCUGGCCUUGCUCAGUGGGUUAAGCAUCCAGCAUUGCCAUGAGCUGUGGUGUAGGUCACAGAUGCGGCUCGGAUCUGGCGUUGUUGUGGCUCUGGUGUAGGCCAGCAGCUGUAGCUCCGAUUACACCCCUAGCCUGGGAACCUCCGUAUGCCAUGGGAGUGGCCCUAAAAGGACAAAAGACAGAAAAAAAAAAAAA
rnacentral:lncRNA from 1 species